CAACAACAACAACAACAACAACAACAACAACAUCAAACAGAGAUAGUCUAUAAAAGUGCACCGGCAAGCUCCGUUACUCUCACGCGCAGCUUCUCCCGUCCUGAAUGAGGAGCGUCCCCGCCCUGCACUACACACACACACACACACACAGACACACACACCCGUCAUGUUUUCUCUCUCUUAAGGUUUUCUGUAUGUCUUUUCGGUUUUUCUGUCUGGGGAUGUGUGAGACGAGCAGGACUAAGAGCUGUCACGGGUCACAAGAGAGAAACUCGGCGCUGACACAGCACAACUCCUCUCCAUGCCUUUUUAGAUCUGAGUGGAAAGUUCUAGUGUGACAGAAGGGCAGGGAUCUUCCCAGUAGUAAGUACAGGAUCCAUGUUUUACUGACAUUCAAAUGAGGUAAGAUCUUCCAAACUAAUCCUGUGAAAAUCCAUGCUUUCUCCAUGCAUCCCAAAACACUUGGUUUAUCCCUCUCAUGAUCACAGUCAUGGCACAGCAGCAAACAAGCCCUUUUGAAUUUACUGCUUCUUUGUAGAGGACCAUGUCUGUGUCAUGAGGUUACAUAAACCACAUGGUUGGUGUGCCCAGAAACAUGAGCCAGACAUCAUUCUUUGGAGCCUGUCCCAUCGGAUGAGGGGAGGGGAUGGGUGCAAGUUAUGGACAUAUAACUUUGCCAUUUGUUGGGCCCAUCUGUGUGUCUGCUAUGUGACUUGCUGCAUGAAAUAUUCAAGGUCCAGUGAAAAGUGAUCUGAUGGUCGCUGUCAAGACUCCCCCCACCUUUUUUGGUUGUCUAUACCAGAUACUAACCAUUACCAAUGGCAAAAAAGACAAAAGAAAAAACAAACAAAACAAGCAGGUGACACCUUCUAUCAGUGCUCCAGUUUCCAUGCCCCAAUUUCGUACACCUUUCCUAGAUCAUUAGUUUAAAAAUGAAUUUAGUUCAGGAAUAUCAUAUAUCAAGCUCAUAUUUUCUGUUGAAUGAGAUAUUGAUAUAUGGUAUUUGGAUUAACAUUGCUAUCGGUAUUUCUUCCUCUUUCCAAAAAGAGUUAAUAUAGAAUGAUGUGUAUAUAACUUUGUGCCGUAAACACAUAGAUAAGUCUUGAGUUGCAUAAUGAAACACAAAUUUGAACACAUUAAAAUGCCCAUUGCCAAAACAAUCUUAACGAAGCCGAAUGUCACAUAACAGUAUAUACCAGUCUCGAAAUCAAAGUUUCGUUUGACUUCGUUCACCAGAAUUUCUGUAGUUUAGACAAUAUUUCCUUUUGUCCUCAUAACAUGUGUUUUCCUGAAGUGUUUGUGGUCCUCCUGCUUACACUCAGAGUAUGCAAGGCACAGCACUCCCACUGCAGGAAAAACAAUCUGAGGAAACUGGGAACAAUCAUAAGCAGGCUUCAGCAUGCUGCCAUAAAAAAUGCACAGGUCCUUGCAUCCAGUCCAUGCGGCCGAUGGUUUGACGGCGCUGCUGGUGCACCAUCCAGAGCAGCAGGAAACACCCUACAAAACAGAGGUGGAUACUGCUUUUGUUGUAGCUAAGACGUUUAAUAAAACAUCAUCAGUGGGUGGGCAAGAUUAGCCAUAAAACAAUGCGUACUGUACUAGGGUCAUUAUACUUUAGGUAGGUGUUUCUAUAGGGAUGGGCAUUUCCAAAGUGGAACACAAACCAAAAAUGCAACAGCAAAUCAGAAAACAAAACAGCAAAACUAAAAACACAACAGCAAAUUCAGAAACACAACCACAACUCAGAACAUAAAACACCAAAAAGACAACAGUAAAUUGAGAAACACAACAACAUUCAAUAAAUACAGAAUGGAUAGGUCCUUAUUCCUUACAUCAUAUGCUCGUAGCUGAUUGGACAGCAUUUGAUUAUAAUAAGGAACAAUGAUUGUCCUUUUUUGGUCUCUUAUCUAGCUAGUCUAGUGAAACAAAUUUAAUGCAAAUGUAAUUACAGUGAGAAGUAGUCCUUCUGUAUAAGAAAGGAGGCAUGGAGGCUGCUGUCUUAUCUGGCAACAAGAUGAUAGCAGCAGAUCCUUUCAGUUCUUUAAGUUGCAAGGUGGGUCCUCCAUGGAUCGGACUUGUUUGCCCAGGACAUCCCACAGAUGCUUGAACAGAUUUGAGAUCUGGGGAAUUUGGAAGCCAAGUCAACACCUUUGUCAUGUACUUUGUCAUGUUCCUCAAACUAUUCCUGAACAAUUUUUGCAGUGUGGCAAGGCGCAUUAUCCUGCUGAAAGAGGCCACUGCCAUUAGGAGUGUACUUGGUCUGCAACAAUGUUUAGGUACAUGAUACGCAUUAAAGUAACAUCUACAUGAAUGCCAAGACUCAAGGUUUCCGAGCAGAACAUUGCCCAGAGCAUCACACUUCCUCCACCGGCUUGCCUUCUUCCAAUAGUGCAUCCAGUACCAUCUCUUCCCCAGGUACCACGUAGACUCCUACUGGAUCAUCUCAUGAGAUGGACCGGUGUUCUGUCCAGGGUUAUUCCUGCCUCAUACUCAAUGUCCCAGGGAUUGGAAGCCCUAACCAGGAUAAAGCUGGCUGUCCAUAUGAUGUAAAAGAAAACUUGAUUCUUCCAUUGGACCAUGGUCCGGUUCUUAUGCUCACAUGCAAACUGUAGGCUUUUUCAGCAGUGGACAGGGGUCAGCAUGGGCACUCUGACCGGUCUGCAGCUACACAGCACUACAUGUAGCAAGCUGCAAUGCACUGUGUCUUCUGAUACCUUUCUAUCAUAGCCACUAUUCAAUUUUUCAGGAAUUUGUGUUACUGUAGCUCUUCUGUGGGAUCUGAACAGAUGGGCUAGCCUUCACUCCCCAUGCACACAAUGAGUCUUAUGGUAAAUUAGCCUUAAGGAAAGUUAGGAGAGACAGAGAGAGUAAAGUCAUUCCUCCCACCCAGAGAGCACAGCCAGUUUGGCUCCCGUGGCCUUUGAUGCUUGUGGCAUUGUCAGGAUUCAAACUUGCAAUCUCCUGAUGAUAGGGCGUUUCUGUUGUGUCACUUGGGAGCAAGUUGAUAGCAUAUCUUAAAUAACAUUAUGUGCAUGCUCUUGAUAAAAAUAAGCAUGAAUAAAAGCCUCAGUAUUCAUUCAGGCUCAUAUUUCAGAUUACGGUAAACAUUCUCCAGCUUUCAGUUUCCACGCUUGCUCAGACUGAUGUGCGCAGUAGCCAAUCAGAGACGAUCAUGUGAUGUUCAAUAAGGACUUACCCUUUCCCUUCUGAAUGACUGUUGAUAAGUUUCUGACUUGCUGUUGGUUUUGGGCUUCUCAUUGUGUUUCUGCUCACAGGUCACCAUAGAUAUGCAACUAGCUACAAAUUUGCCUUUGUGCUUUUACAUUUUUAUGCUGCUUUUGGCUUUGCUGUUGUGUUUUUGGCUUUGGUGUUGUGGCUUUUUUUAUUUGGUGUUGUGUUUUUUUUUAUUUGCUGUUGUUUUAGUAUUGCUGUUGUGUUCUUGGCUUUGAUGGUGUAUUUUUGGUUUUGCCAUUGUGCUACUAAUUUGAUGUUGUGCUUUUAGUUUUGCCAUUAUGUAUUUGAUCUGACAUUGUGUUUUUAGAUUUGCUGUUGUGUUUUAGUUUUGCUGCUGUGUUUUUUAAUUAGAUUUUUAGUUUUUAGUUUUGUUGUGUUUCUGAUUUGAUGUUGUGUUUAGUUUUGUUGUGUUUCUGAAUUGAUGUUGUGUUUCGUUUUGUUGUGUUUUUGAUUUUGCUGUUGUGUUUUUUGAUUUGUUGUUGGGUUAGUUUUGCAUUUGUGUUUUAUUGGUGUUUUUUCAUUUUGUUUUCAUUUCUGACUCAGUGUUGUGUUUAUAGUUUGCUGUUUUGUUUUUGUUAUUUUGGUUACUGUUGUGAUUUAAUUUAGUUUUCUGAUUUGCUAUUGUGUUUUAGUUUUGCUGUUGUGUUUUCUGAUUUGAUUGUGUGUUUUUAAUUUGUGUUUUUUUUAAUUUACUUUUGUGUUUGUAGGUUUGCUGUCUUUUGUUUAGUUUUCUUGUCACUUUUUAAAUAUAUUUUUUUAAUUUAAUUGGACUUUUUUAUUUGAAUAAUAUUCCACCACAUUCACCAUUGGAAAAAGGUCACAUGGCACAAAGCAUUAGCAUUUAUUUUUUCUCCAUUUAUUCUCACCCAGAGAAAAGGGUGGAUGAACUACACCCAUUCCAUUUAGGUGCAAGAUUCUGUUCCUAUACACACUUUGGUCUGGGCUGCAGACAGCACUGCUCCUGCUGGAUGGAAUGUGUCAAUAUGUGGAUUAUAGAUUAAUUGCUUGGCCCUUCACUGGAGUGUGUCACAAAACAAACCUCACAGCCCUAAUAUUACCACUCAGCAACAUUUGCUGUCUCAAAAUCACAGCACAGGGAUUUACCAUGAAUACACCUGUUAAAUGAAUUUUGCCACAUUACAGCAUAGUAAAUGAGUCACAUGACACUUUUUAGUGUACCUGUCCAAAUCCCAAAUGACAAUCACAAUCACAAUGUUAAAUGUGACAUUAUUAGAGUUACACAGGAGCUAAUACAUUAUUAGCUGUGUAAGGAAGAGUCACAACAUAUGCCCCAUCAUGCUGAAGUUGUUCUUCCCCAAACAUGACCCUAGGAUGACCUGAAAUUUCACUGUGCCCCUAAGCCCUGGGCAAAAUGGUGUGUAUGAAAUCCACAGACAAAUUCUGCUGUAACCGAUAUGCAAUAUUUCUGCUCCGUGGCUGUAGAGGAGGACAUAUUUAUUCGUAAUGUCCAUGGAGAGGUAACUCUAAUCUUUAGAUUGCAUUCCUGCAUGCUCUGCAACAAGUCCUUUAUGGCGUUAUGUCAAGACUAAGAACGGAUUUUGUCAGGUGGAGAUUGGGGUUCAGAAGUUCAUGUGCCGGUCAUGCUGGAGCAUUCCGCACAAUCUUUACGUUUCCAUUCAACCCAAUCUUUGUUUCCAACUCCACCUCAGGGUUUUUUUUUAGUCAGUUCUAUAUUUUUUUUCCAAUGUGCUUUCCUUUUUAUAGAUAAAAGAUUCAUUUCUGUUCUCUGCUUUGAGACACAAACAACAGGAAUGUGAACUUGUUUGACUCAUUCAUGGUUCAUGCAGUGUCUGUAAACUUUCCUUUCACAGUUUAGAUACCAAUAUCUUCCAAUUACAAACAGAAUUAAAUAUUUCUCAAAAUUGCUUUGGCUUACUUAAAAGAAGAAAUUGAAGAUGAACCCCAUACAAGCAAUAGUCAUACAAAAAAAACCCCACAAAAUAAGACAAAAACAAUGAUCUGGUAGCAAUAAAAACAUUUUUUUGGCAACAUCAGCCAUGUAAGUGCACCUGUGCACUGUUUCCUUAUGCAAAUCCAGCACAUGAAGUUAUACUUGAAUUACAAUAAAGGCUUUUCCACAACCAUAAUUUCAGAGAUUAUUCUUGGGAGCUGUCCAUCUAGCCAGAAUUGCAUUUUAAUGACCUAUGAAAGAAUUCCCUGGCAAAGUUCCAUCUAGAAACCCUAUCACUAAAAAGCAGGAUGGCAGGCAUCAGUAUUUUUUUUACAAGCUAAUUGCAGCUUCUUGGUUGUUUGAAGACACAGUACUGAGAUUUAAUUGUACGAGCUGAGCAGGCUAUCCCUCUCUUGAUAAAAAAUGCCGUUUGAUUACCUUGCCAUUUCCGACGGAAGAUUGCAGCUAUAGAAUUACUUGCUCUUGCUUAUGAACACACAGUGUCCAGGUCCAUUUGGAGAGCACAAUUAGAGAAUGAAUACCUCAAAAAGACUCAAUGUGUAUCUUUUACAACAUAAAUUGUAAGUGCAGCAGGGACUUCUUUGAAUAAUUGAUCAUACAUAUGCACUGUUAUUAUCUAGUUCCAUUAAGGCCAAGUUUAGUGAGGUCCUUUCUAUUGAAGACAGAUAUGUUCAGCUGGUCAAGUGGUGUAUUAUUUGCCCAUGCAGUUUGGAUGAAAAAAAUAAUGUGUAUAUGUUUGUGUAUCUGUUCCAAUGAUGUAGAGAGUAGUUGUCAUUAAUUUACUUGCCUUCUACAACUAACACUGUUCAAUUCUUUACCUUAUAAACUUGGAGGACCAGUGCUGUUACAACUAGAUUUGAUUUGAGGAGUGUCUGUAUAGUUCCAUAUUUUAUCAUUUUCUUUUAUUAGUAUAAAAUAUGAAACACUAGCCUCAUUAAAGGAACAAAUAUGUUGGCUUUUGCACUAUGUGAAAGAUUGCCAAUAUAGAGCUUAGAAGCUCCAUAGAAAGAAAAGUAUUUAAAUAAAAAUAAUUUAUUUUGUAUAUUUGAAUUAUACACAUCACAUUAAAUAAAAUGUACUUUUUUGCAUUGUGUUAUCAUUUAAUAAAUAUUCAU